rnacentral:tRNA from 1 species
GCCUGGGUGGCUCAGUCUGGUUGAGCAUCUGACUUCGGCUCAGGUCAUGAUCUCGCGGUCCGUGAGUUCAAGCCCCGCGUCAGGCU